rnacentral:misc_RNA from 1 species
GGAUUCUAGUCACAGAAGGAAACAACAUCAAGAAUAAAAAAAGAAUCAUACAAUUUUGUAAUAUUCUGUGGCACAUGAUGGUAUUGAAAUUUAUAUAGUUUUCAGUUCUUCCAAUAUUCCUCUUCCUCUAUACCCUUUUAAAAGCAGCAACUAGCAACAGAAGAGUUUGUUUUGCUUAAUUCACAAGGGGAAAGAUGGAUAAGUAUGUUGAUUUCCUGAAUUUUC